UACAGAGGUCUCAAGCGUUGUUCGGAAUCAUUGGGCGUAAAGGGUGUGUAGGUGGCGCGCUAAGUCGGGUGUGAAAUUUCGGAGCUUAACUCCGAAACUGCAUUCGAUACUGGCGUGCUUGAGGACUGGAGAGGAGACUGGAAUUCAUGGUGUAGCAGUGAAAUGCGUAGAGAUCAGGAGGAAGACCAGUGGCGAAGGCGGGUCUCUGGACAGUUCCUGACACUGAGACACGAAGGCCAGGGGAGCAAACGGG
rnacentral:rRNA from 1 species